rnacentral:rRNA from 1 species
GACGAACGCUGGCGGCGUGCCUAACACAUGCAAGUCGAACGCAGUGGCGAACGGGUGAGUAACACGUGGGUGAUCUGCCUUGCACUUCGGGAUAAGCUUGGGAAACUGGGUCUAAUACCGGAUAGUGCAAGAUUGGCUCGCGGCCUAUCGGCUUGUUGGUGGGGUAAUGGGCUACAAAGGCGUCGACGGGUAGCCGGCCUGAGAGGGUGUACGGCAACAUGGGGACUGCGAUACGGCCCAGACGGCUACGGGAGGCAGCAGUGGGGAAUAUUGCACAAUGGGCGGAAGCCUGAUGCAGCGACGCCGGGUGGGGGAUGAAGGCCUUCGGGUUGUAAACUCCUUUGGACAGGGACGCGGUACCUGUAUAAGAAGCAACGGCUAACUACGUGCCAGCCGCCGCGGUAAUUC